rnacentral:rRNA from 1 species
GAUGAACGCUGGCGGCGUGCCUAAUACAUGCAAGUCGAGCGAACGGACGAGAAGCUUGCUUCUCUGAUGUUAGCGGCGGACGGGUGAGUAACACGUGGAUAACCUACCUAUAAGACUGGGAUAACUUCGGGAAACCGUAGCUAAUACCGGAUAAUAUUUUGAACCGCAUGGUUCAAAAGUGAAAGACGGUCUUGCUGUCACUUAUAGAUGGAUCCGCGCUGCAUUAGCUAGUUGGUAAGGUAACGGCUUACCAAGGCAACAAUGCAUAGCCGACCUGAGAGGGUGAUCGGCCACACUGGAACUGGGACACGGUCCAGACUCCUACGGGAGGCAGCAUUAGGGAAUCUUCCGCAAUGGGCGAAAUCCUGACGGGGCAACGCCGCGUGAGUGAUGAAGGUCUUCGGAUCGUAAAACUCUGUUAUUAGGGAAGAACAUAUGUGUAAGUAACUGUGCACAUCUUGACGGUACCUAAUCAGAAAGCCACGGCUAACUACGUG